rnacentral:lncRNA from 1 species
GGGCCAACUGGUGCGUGCCACGCGUCCCGCAUGUCCCCUUCACCGCUAUCGAGGGUUGACCGUUCAUGAAUUUCCGUAGCACGAUGCUUGGGAUCGCAUUCCGACAGGGGUUCCGAAAAGACUCUUCAGGUCGCCUUCACCGGAAAGCGGGCUCUGACGUGCACACAUUAAAUGCCAAAAUAUCUGGGGGCGGCAGUGCACAGGAUGCGAGGGGACGGCUUCGGCUGUGCCCAUCUCUCUGUACUUC